rnacentral:tRNA from 1 species
UCCGGGGCGGGGGAGACGGCUGACCCGCCUGUUUUGGGAACAGGAGACACCGAGUUCGAUUCUCGGGUCCCGGAC